UGGGUGACUAGAGUGUGUCAGAGGGAGGUAGAAUUCCACGUGUAGCAGUGAAAUGCGUAGAGAUGUGGAGGAAUACCGAUGGCGAAGGCAGCCUCCUGGGAUAACACUGACGUUCAUGCUCGAAAGCGUGGGUAGCAAACAGGAUUAGAUACCCUGGUAGUCCACGCCCUAAACGAUGUCAAUUAGCUGUUGGGCAACUUGAUUGCUUAGUAGCGUAGCUAACGCGUGAAAUUGACCGCCUGGGGAGUACGGUCGCAAGAUUAAAACUCAAAGGAAUUGACGGGGACCCGCACAAGCGGUGGAUGAUGUGGAUUAAUUCGAUGCAACGCGAAGAACCUUACCUGGUCUUGACAU
rnacentral:rRNA from 1 species